GCUCCCGUAGUCUAGACCGGCCAAGGAUUCCGGCCUUUCGAGCCGGAGACCCGGGUUCAAAUCCCGGCGGGAGCA
rnacentral:tRNA from 1 species